UACGUAGGGUGCGAGCGUUAAUCGGAAUUACUGGGCGUAAAGCGUGCGCAGGCGGUUGUGCAAGACCGAUGUGAAAUCCCCGGGCUUAACCUGGGAAUGGCAUUGGUGACUGCACGGCUAGAGUGUGUCAGAGGGGGGGUAGAAUUCCACGUGUAGCAGUGAAAUGCGUAGAGAUGUGAAGGAAUACCGAUGGCGAAGGCAGCCCCCUGGGAUAACACUGACGCUCAUGCACGAAAGCGUGGGGAGCAAACAGG
rnacentral:rRNA from 1 species